AUUGAACGCUAGCGGCGGGCCUAACACAUGCAAGUCGAGCGAGCGGCGGACGGGUGAGUAAUGUAUGGGGACUGCCCGAUAGCGGGGGCUAACUACUGGAAACGGUGGCUAAUACCGCAUACUAUCGGAUAACCCAUAUGGGAUUAGCUAGUAGGUGGGGUAAAGGCUCACCUAGGCGACGAUCUCUAGCUGGUCUGAGAGGAUGAUCAGCCACACGGGAAGUGCGACACGGGCCAGACUCCUACGGAGGCAGAAGUGGGGAAUAUUGCACAAUGGGCGCAAGCCUGAUGCAGCCAUGCCGCGUGUAUGAAGAAGGCCUUAGGGUUGUAAAGUACUCUCAGCGGGGAGGCGUUACCCGCAGAAGAAGCACCGGCUAACCACGUGCCAGCAGCCGCGGUAAUUC
rnacentral:rRNA from 1 species